rnacentral:rRNA from 1 species
ACGCUCGACACCUAUGGGAGGCAGCAGUGGGGAAUAUUGCACAAUGGGGGAAACCCUGAUGCAGCAACGCCGCGUGAAGGAAGACGGUUUUCGGAUUGUAAACUUCUGUUCUUAGUGAAGAUAGUGACGGUAGCUAAGGAGCAAGCCACGGCUAACUACGUGCCAACAGCCGCGGUAAUCUGAGCGGGCUGGCAAGGC